GCCAUGGUGGCGCAUGCCUGUAAUCCCAGCGUCUCGGGAGGCUGAGGCAGGAGGAUCCUGAGUUCAGCCUCAGCAAAUUAUCAAGGCCCAAAGCAACUCAGUGAGACUCUGUCUCUA
rnacentral:sRNA from 1 species